GAACGCUGGCGGUAGGCCUAACACAUGCAAGUCGAACGGCAGCACAGUAAGAGCUUGCUCUUACGGGUGGCGAGUGGCGGACGGGUGAGGAAUACAUCGGAAUCUACUUUUUCGUGGGGGAUAACGUAGGGAAACUUACGCUAAUACCGCAUACGACCUACGGGUGAAAGCAGGGGAUCUUCGGGCCUUGCGCGAUUGAAUGAGCCGAUGUCGGAUUAGCUAGUUGGCGGGGUAAAGGCCCACCAAGGCGACGAUCCGUAGCUGGUCUGAGAGGAUGAUCAGCCACACUGGAACUGAGACACGGUCCAGACUCCUACGGGAGGCAGCAGUGGGGAAUAUUGGACAAUGGGCGCAAGCCUGAUCCAGCCAUACCGCGUGGGUGAAGAAGGCCUUCGGGUUGUAAAGCCCUUUUGUUGGGAAAGAAAAGCAGCAGGUUAAUACCCCGCUGUUCUGACGGUACCCAAAGAAUAAGCACCGGCUAACUUCGUG
rnacentral:rRNA from 1 species